rnacentral:rRNA from 1 species
CCCUUAGACGUUCUGGGCCGCACGCGCGCUACACUGACCAGUGCAACAAGCAUCCGUCCUUGGCCGACAGGCCCGGGCAAUCUUUGAACGCUGGUCGUGAUGGGGAUAGACUUUUGCAAUUUUUGGUCUUCAACGAGGAAUUCCUAGUAAACGCAAGUCAUCAACUUGCAUUGAUUACGUCCCUGCCCUUUGUACACACCGCCCGUCGCACCUACCGAUUGAAUGGUCCGGGGAAGCCUCCGGAUUGGCGCGCACCUCGGUGCCGCCGAGAAGUUGGCUAAACCUUACCAUUUAGAGGAAGGUGAANUCGUANCA